rnacentral:rRNA from 1 species
CCUCGGGGGGCAGCAGUGGGGAAUAUUGGACAAUGGGGGCAACCCUGAUCCAGCCAUGCCGCGAGUGUGAAGAAGGCCCUCGGGUUGUAAAGCACUUUCAGUGAGGAAGAACGCCUGGUGGUUAAUACCCAUCAGGAAAGACAUCACUCACAGAAGAAGCACCGGCUAACUCCGUGCCAGCAGCCGCGGUAAUACGGAGGGUGCGAGCGUUAAUCGGAAUUACUGGGCGUAAAGCGCGCGUAGGUGGCUUGAUAAGCCGGUUGUGAAAGCCCCGGGCUCAACCUGGGAACGGCAUCCGGAACUGUCAAGCUAGAGUGCAGGAGAGGAAGGUAGAAUUCCCGGUGUAGCGGUGAAAUGCGUAGAGAUCGGGAGGAAUACCAGUGGCGAAGGCGGCCUUCUGGACUGACACUGACACUGAGGUGCGAAAGCGUGGGUAGCAAACAGGAUUAGAUACCCUAGUAGUC